CUCGUAGGCGGCCAACUAAGUCAGACGUGAAAUCCCUCGGCUUAACCGGGGAACUGCGUCUGAUACUGGAUGGCUUGGGGUUGGGAGAGGGAUGCGGAAUUCCAGGUGUAGCGGUGAAAUGCGUAGAUAUCUGGAGGAACACCGGUGGCGAAGGCGGCAUCCUGGACCAAAUCUGACGCUGAGGAGCGAAAGCCAGGGGGAGCAAAACGG
rnacentral:rRNA from 1 species